GACGAACGCUGGCGGCGUGCUUAACACAUGCAAGUCGAACGGAAAGGCCCUGCCUUUGUGGGGUGCUCGAGUGGCGAACGGGUGAGUAACACGUGAGUAACCUGCCCUUGACUUUGGGAUAACUUCAGGAAACUGGGGCUAAUACCGGAUAGGAGCUCCUGCUGCAUGGUGGGGGUUGGAAAGGUUCGGCGGUUGGGGAUGGACUCGCGGCUUAUCAGCUUGUUGGUGGGGUAGUGGCUUACCAAGGCAUUGACGGGUAGCCGGCCUGAGAGGGUGACCGGCCACGUUGGGACUGGGAUACGGCCCGAUCUCCGACGGGAGGCAGCAGUGGGGAAUAUUGCACAAUGGGCGGAAGCCUGAUGCAGCAACGCCGCGUGCGGGAUGACGGCCUUCGGUUUGUAAUCCGCUUUCGCCUGUGACGAAGCGUGAGUGACGGUAGUGGGUAAAGAAGCACCGGCUAACUACGUG
rnacentral:rRNA from 1 species